rnacentral:rRNA from 1 species
UGGGGAAUAUUGGACAAUGGGCGAAAGCCUGAUCCAGCAAUGCCGCGUGUGUGAAGAAGGCCUGCGGGUUGUAAAGCACUUUCAGUAGCGAGGAAAAGCUCAAGGUUAAUAACCUUGAGUCUUGACGUUAACUACAGAAGAAGCACCGGCUAACUCUGUGCCAGCAGCCGCGGUAAUACAGAGGGUGCAAGCGUUAAUCGGAAUUACUGGGCGUAAAGCGCGCGUAGGCGGUUUAAUCAGUCGGAUGUGAAAGCCCCGGGCUCAACCUGGGAACUGCAUUCGAUACUGUUAAGCUAGAGUAUGGUAGAGGAUAGUGGAAUUCCUGGUGUAGCGGUGAAAUGCGUAGAUAUCAGGAGGAACAUCAGUGGCGAAGGCGACUGUCUGGACCAAUACUGACGCUGAGGUGCGAAAGCGUGGGGAGCAAACA